rnacentral:sRNA from 1 species
AGCAGGGUUGAGCCGGCCUCCAGGCUGCACACUGUCCACAAGACGGCGUGAGGUGAGCCAACGCCAAAAGCGUUGAGCCAGGACGAAGUUCUCAAGGGGUGGCCGACGGGUCACCCC